UAAAUUCUAAAAACUAGCUGGAAAAUAAAUUGUACCACAAAUUGUACACCAAACUGUACAAUUAAUUGAACAAUUAAUUAAAAAUAAAAACCACCAAAAGAUAAAAUAUAAGUAAAAAAUAAUAAAACAUACAUACAUAUAUAAUAAUAACUGCAUUAAAAAAAAAAGUACGCAAAAAAUGGCUUUAAUAAAUUUUAAAGAAAAGAUUCAAAUAUUACUAAAAUUAAAAGAAUCAUUAAUACCACAACUGGAUGGUAAUUUUAUACAAAAUUGGAAAAUGGAAGCAUUAAAUUAUCAAAACAUUAGUGAAAAUAUAAUGAUUGAACUAAAAAAUGUAGAUUUUAUAGAAGGGUUAGUUAGUGCUAUUUCUGCUCAGUUGUCUUAUUUACGCAUGAAUUUACAUAAUUAUGAACAUAUGUCAGAAGUGGAAAAAGAUAAAUUUAAAAGAUUAUAUGUUUUAGCUUCUUUAGGCUUUAUAGCUAAGCUAAAACUUAUAUUAUUUUUUUCUACUUAUAUAAAUUCACGUGAACAAAAAAACAGUAAGCAUUUUCCUAAUAUUAGUAAACAAUUGUUUAACAAUAAUGAUUUACCAAAUGAUCGUAUGCAAUGUUAUAACAACAUCAGCAGCAACAGCAAUAAUAACAAUAAUAACAAUAAUAAUGACAAUAAUAUUAAUAAUAAUAACAAUAAUAUUAAUAAUAUUAACAAUAAUAUUAAUAAUAAUAACAAUAAUAUUAAUAAUAAUAACAAUAAUAUUAAUAAUAUUAAUAAUAAUAAUGACAAGAAUAAUGACAAGAAUAAUGACAAGAAUAAUGACAAUAUGAAUUUUCAAAAAAACUUUUAUGAAAAUUUGAUGAAUAAUGAUUUUACUACUGAUAAUACAACUGAUAAUAACACUAAUAGUAACAAUAACAACAGUAGUAAUAAUAACAACAGUAGUAAUAACAAUAAUAACAAUAAUAAUAACAAUAAUAAUAACAAUAAUAAUAACAAUAAUAAUAACAAUAAUAAUAAUAAUAAUAAUAAUAACAAUAAUAAUAACAAUAAUAAUAACAAUAACAAUAAUAAUAAUAAUAAUAAUAAUAAUAAUUUAAAAAUAGAUCCAGUAUACAAUAACAUAGAUGAAAAAUCAUUUUCACAGUUUUCUAAUUAUGUUAAUAAUAAUUAUAAUAAGAACGAACUAUUGAAUAUAAUGACCAUGAAUGCUUUGAAUAAUUAUAACACACAGGUAUAUUAUAAUGAUAGUAAUAUAAAUAAUGAAGAAUAUACUAAUAAAAAUUUAAACAUGUAUAACAANNNNNNNNNNNNNNNNNNNNNNNNNNNNNNNNNNNNNNNNNNNNNNNNNNNNNNNNNNNNNNNNNNNNNNNNNNNNNNNNNNNNNNNNNNNNNNNNNNNNAAUAAAAAUUUAAACAUGUAUAACAAUAAUUGUGAAAUGAUAACGAACGAUGUAAAUAGUAACAAAACCAACCCUGAUACUACCAACAUUAACAUGAACGACAUGUACAGCCAUAUUAACGAAAACGUGAAUAACCAAAUUAACGAAAAUAUGGACAGUCAUAUGAACGAAAACCUGAAUAACCAUAUAAACAAAAAUAUGGAUAAUUAUAUGAUUGAUGACAUAAAAAGAUUUAACAGUAAAGAUAUUAAUAACAAUAAUAUUAAUACUAAUAAUAAUAACAAUAAUAAUAUUAAUAAUAAUAAUAAUAACAAUAAUAAUAUUAAUAAUAUUAAUAAUGUUAAUAAUAAUAAUAACAAUAAUAUUAAUAAUAAUAGUAAUAAUAAUGUUAAUAAUAAUAGUAAUCAUAAUACUAAUACACAAUUUGUAGGUAAUAUAAAUGAUAAUAAUGAAAAUAUAAUAAGUAAUUUCGCUACAGAAGAAGUUGGUAAUAUAGUACAACCAGUAGUGGUGAACACUGAAAUAGCCGAAAAAACAUCUAUAGAAUUACUAAAUCAUGACCCUAAUAAAAUAAUUAAUUUUUUAAACAACACAAACAGUAAUACGUCAGAUAACAACAUGAAAAAUAAACAAAAUGAUAAUAUAACAAUUCCUACAAAUUUUAAUGAUAAUUUAAAUAUGGAUGUACAUAAUAGUUUUAUACAACCAAACCAUGAACAGUUUUCAAAAUAUUUAACUAAUGUACAUACAAACAUUCACCAAACAAAUACUACUACCAACAACAAUAAACAGAAUUUAAACGAUUUUAAUUACAAUCAAAAUAAUUAUUACCAUGCAUUUGCUACUAAUUAUCAGCAUAAUCAGCUGGAAGAAACAAAUUUCAUUCACUCGUAUAAUAAUGACUCAUAUGGGAUAAUGAACGAUGUAUAUAGAAACAGUUAUUACUUAUAAUAAGAACAAAAAUGAGCUAAUAAUUCGAUUUUGCUUUAUAAAAAAAAAAAAAAUAAAAAUAAAAAAAAUAUAUCGAUUUAUGCA
rnacentral:lncRNA from 1 species